rnacentral:lncRNA from 1 species
CAGGCUGCGGGAGGGUGCGUCUGUGGCCUGCAGACGGGGAGCAACGUCUGCUGGACACGGGGCUUCGGAGCCCCAGUGAGUCGCAUCUGCAGGGGGCUGCGUAGUCGGCUCUGUCCCUCCGUGGGUCCUCGGGGCCUGGUGUCCCUGUUUCUAAGGGAAGGGUGGAAAGACGAUGCCCGAGUCCCCGCAGUGCACACCACCGCGGCCCACCUGUGCCCAGCGUCACUUUCUUGUUCCCAUUUUUUGUCCCAACCUCAGACGAGGGUCAACAAGACCGUCCAGCUGUGCUUGGGCCCCUGGGGAAAUGGAGGCAAAGCCCACAGAAGCACAGGUGUGUCCCGUGGGCAGCUGGCCGCAGAGCAGCAUCCAGGCUGCGGGGACCAGGGGGCGCGGCUAAAGCCUGGGCACCAAGGGGCACUGUUUAAAAAGAAUCCAUGCUCGUAGUUGCUGUUUUGAGGCUUUUCACCCAAAGUGCUUCACAAGCUCAUGGAACAGCAGCGUGCGAACACACCUAAUGCACACCCAUGCGUGCACGCACACACACACACACGCACACACGUGCACACACGCACACACACGCGUGCAUGCCUCUGAGACUGCGGGGCGGUCGGCAGUCGCGUGCCCGGCAAGCUCCCCUCUCCCUGGGUGGCAGAGCCCCUCCGUGGGGGAGACAGAGGAGCCAGCUCGUCCAGCGCUGCCUUCAGCUCCGGUUCCUGCUGCCUACUGAGAAGUCGCCGCUUCCUGGAGGGGGACGGCCAUUUCCAGCCGUGUGCUUCCAACGGGAGGCAGGAUCAACUGAGGGAGGAGAAUCUCGUGGGUCAGCGAGAGCCAUGGGCAGCCGGGGGAGAGAGUGGUCUGCAGUCAAGUUCAGGGUGUGUUGGGAGGAGAGAGCGGGGGCGGGGGAGGGCUCAGAUGCCGGCCAUGGGUCCUCCUGUCCACGUGACCCCUGUUUAUCCCUGUCCAGCUCUGUCCCUCGCCACCACACCUGUGAACCUCCUGAUCCCUCGGCAAAAAACCACCCGAAUCAAGGAGCCACGGCCCGGAGCCAGAGGGGCAGACGCGGAGCUGCCUGGCUUCUCCAGGUAGUGGACCUGCACCUGCCGCCCUGUGCUGGCGCCACCACGGACCCUGGACCGAGGGGCCUUCCGUAGAAUCCAGGUGAGCAGACGGAGGUGUUUCUAGGACAGUGUUUUUCAGGACCCAUUUGGGGACAGGGCUGUGACAGUGGAGUUGGAGCCUGUGCCAUGCUGCUUGUCUAAACAAAGAAGUCUGACCUUGGAGCUCCGCUGAGAAAGGACAGGCUAUGCAAAGCACCCAUCUCCACCCUGUUAAAAAUGUCUGGGUGCUAGGCCAGGCUUCCUUGCUGGGCAGAGUGAGGACCUGGUCCCUGUGGGGCAGCCUGGCCACUAUUUGCAUAAACUGCUUCAGGCAUCUAAGAAGAGUGUUAGCAGUGAGUGGCCCUAAAGGUAGCUUUUCUUGGCUAGAUGCAGACUUGGCACUGACUCUGUGACCUCAUGCAAGUCUCUCAACCUCUCUGAUUCACAGUUUCUAAGUCUCUCAGCUAAGGAGCUGGGCUUGGGAAUGAAGGCCACCUUCAGGGCCUGUGGGCUGCACUCUGGGCCCGACAAACCUGCUCUGCGUGUUAUUCCAAUUCCGUG